rnacentral:misc_RNA from 1 species
AAAAAAAGACUGUUCAACACUUGUGAAGUUAUAUUCUUUUUAGAUUCCAUAGUUGCUUAUGAACCAAAUUCCAUAAAUGUAGAGGCAAUAAAAAUAAAGAAUGUUUAGUAAAAACCUUCUAGAUGCAAGCCCUUAUGUGGCCAGGAGUGUAAAUGAACCGAGCCGAACUUUAAAGAGUUCAAGCUUGGUCCAUCAAAAUCUUUUCGAACUCGAGCUGACCUCGUGUCAAACUCGAGCCGACCUCGUGUCAAACUCGAGCCGAAUAUCUAUAAGCUCAAACUUGGCUCAUUUAGAAAACGAGUUAUAAACGAGCCA